rnacentral:rRNA from 1 species
UGCAUGCCUUCGAAUAGAAGAGCAAUUCUCUCUGAAUCUGCGAACGGCUCCGCAAACCAGUUGUAAACCAUAGCAAGCAUGCCCUGGGUCUGCCGCAAGGUGGGUCCGGGGCUAUAAGGAUAACCCUGGUAAUUCUGAGGCUAAUACAUGAACGUAACCCCCGGUUGAAGGGCAACCGGAUGCCGGGGACCGUGCGAGUAAAACGCAAAGGUUAUUGGGAAUAGUCGCACAGUACGACCACCAUACCAAACAGUAUCUGCUUCGCCUCCUCACGGGGGCUGGCGGUGUCUGGGUGGCUCUUGCAAGGUGCUUCUGACCUAUCAACUAGAUGGCAGCGUAACGGACAUGCUAUGGUGACAACGGGUACAGAGGAUAAGGGUUCGAUCCUGGAGAGUGGGCCUGAGAGAUUGCUCACACUUCUAAGGAAGGCAGCAGGCGCGCAACGUUCCCCUUGGGCAAUGCCCGAGGGCGUUAGGGGACAUAUGAAUGUCUGCCUUUUGGUGGACAAUUCAAAUGGGUCUGUUCUAAACAGCCUCUCGAGUAACAAUUAGAGGACAAGUCUGGUGCCAGCACCCGCGAAAGAAGAUAUUAAUCGGAAUCCGUGGGGAUAGUGUAGGAAAAACCCUAUGCUAGUCGACCUCUCUAAAAUGCGUGUUGAGAGUGAUCGGCGACAUCGUCAAAUUGCGGGAAGUCCCUAAAGCCUUAUAUACCAACUGCGCGUCGAAAGACGGAAAAAUGUGCGACGUUACUACCUUUGAUCGAGGGAGUCGGCACCGCAGGGCCAGGGUAAUGACCUCGGGUAUGGUAAAAACUAUAAGGAUGUAGAUGAUCUAGGGGGCCUGCUAUUUUUAGCAGGUCCAUAAAAACCUAUUUCCAGUCCAAUGGGUAAUCCGCAGCCAAGUCCGUAGUACGACGGGGAUCACGUUCACGUUCCUUUGAUCCCUAAAGACUCUCCAGUAGCUCUAACCGAUUAAAAUGACGAUCAACCUGAGCUAUGGGUAAUGAGAGACUUUUUGUUGUAUGGAUGCAGUUCAGAGACUAAAUGGCGGUGGGCGGAGGUCUAGGGCGUAGCAACCCCUGGGCCUCUGCAUAAGAUAUAGUCCGUCCCCCCGCGAAAGCGGGCCAUCCAGAGGAGGGAGAAGCGCACUCCCAGAACUGGUGGGCUACCGAAAGGUGGUGGGUUGUAGCUUAAUAAAGUUAUACGGUAAUUCCAGCUCUAAUAGCAUACGUUAAAGUUGUUGCGGUUAAAACGCUCGUAGUCGGCGCCAGAUCUUCAUAAUCUUGCGUUGGGAUCCAGGUCCGUUGCCCCGGUCAAGGGCACGCUGGUGACUGACAAGAGAGGACGUUGGUCAAACGUGCUCGUGGCUGCCUCUUCGGAGUCGCAGGGCUUAUGCCGGGCUUGCUCGGUGUUUGCUCGGCCCGGGUGCCAUUUACCAUGACUAAACUGGGGUGAUCAAAGCAUGUCUUUCGACACGUACAGCGCAGCAUGGUAUAACAAUAUCGGCCUUGCCCUAUUUGCGGGGGCUCGGUUGGUAAAAGCGAAAGGGAUGUUCGAGGGUGACCGAAUUGCUGGGCGAGUGGUGAAAUACGUUGACCCUAGCAAGUCGACCAAAGGCGAAAGCAGUCAUCAAGGGCAUGCCCGUUGAUCAAGAGCGAAAGUUAAGGGUUCGAAGACGAUCAGAUACCGUCGUAGUCUUAACUAUAAAUGAUGCAAACCAGGGGUAGGACACUGUCCAUCUCGACUCCUCCUGAACCUUAGAGAAAUUAAGUCUUUGGGUUCUGGGGGGAGUAUGGUCGCAAGGCUGAAACUUAAAGGAAUUGACGGAAGGGCACACAAAGAGUGGAACCUGCGGCUUAAUUUGACUCAACACGGGAAAACUCACCAGGUCCGGAUACACGUAUGAAAGUCAAGCUGAAAGACUUUACUCAAUGAUGUAAGUGGUGGUGCAUGGUCGUUCUUAGUUCGUGGAUUGAUUUGUCUGGUCUAUUCCGAUAACGAGCGAGACCCCAUCGUUCCUAAUAGGGGUGGUUAGCCCGCCGGUCGAAAGGCCGGCAGCUUCCGCUUAAGAUUAACUUCUUAGACGUAUCAGAGCCGAUAAGGUUCUUGAAAUGGGUUAAUAACAGGUCAGUCAUGCCCUUAGAUGUUCUGGGCCGCACGCGCGUUACAAUGGCAUGUAAAGCAAGUGCUUGAAAAGGCGUCUCCGGGGCCGAAGGCCCUGGUAACCCUUAGUCCCUGCCUUGACUGGGACAGAUCUUUGCAAUUAUUGGUCUCCAACGAGGAAUUUUUAGUAGUCGUAGGUCAUUAACCUACGACGAAUGCGUCCCUGCCCUUUGUACACACCGCCCGUCGCUGCUACCGAUUGGGUUUUACAGUUACGUGUUUGGAGGCGCUUUCCCCCCGCUUGCUUCGCGGUAGGUGGGAGCCGGUACCGAA